rnacentral:tRNA from 1 species
GGGGAAGUGCUGGAACUGGCAGACAGGCGUGACUUAGGAUCACGUGCCGCAAGGCGUGAGGGUUCAAGUCCCUCCUUCCCCACUA